rnacentral:rRNA from 1 species
UACGUAGGGGGCAAGCGUUAUCCGGAAUUACUGGGUGUAAAGGGAGCGUAGGCGGCACGCCAAGCCAGAUGUGAAAGCCCGAGGCUUAACCUCGCGGAUUGCAUUUGGAACUGGCGAGCUAGAGUACAGGAGAGGAAAGCGGAAUUCCUAGUGUAGCGGUGAAAUGCGUAGAUAUUAGGAAGAACACCAGUGGCGAAGGCGGCUUUCUGGACUGAAACUGACGCUGAGGCUCGAAAGCGUGGGGAGCGAACAGG